CGGAAGCAUGCAUGAGGUAAGCGCCAGAUUCAAGAAAUUACAGGAACAGUUUUCGUAAGUUUGCUUGUAAAAUACGGGAGUAAUUUAGAGGAUGGACUGCUGAUGCCAGCUUUCAACUACCAGGAGCCUUCUAUGAUCUUUGAAUGUAACAGUGCUGUACUACAUGUAGGUGCUGAAUGGACUGUCACAAUGGCGUCAUACAGAGCAGCCUCAAGAAAGACAUGCAGGUCUUCCAUGGUCCUGUGAUGGAAUGAGCUGUACGGGUCGUGCAGGAUGUUCCGAGAGGCUCUAAUAUGUGAAACUGUAGGAUCGCUGAAGCAGACUCAGCAGCCUAAAACCACACACACUGAGAUUCAAGUUUGCCAUCUGCCUGGUGACUGAUCCCAUGUACCAGGGGCAAUGUAGCCCUGAGGGUGGAUCUUAAUAUGAUGGUUCUACACCUUGACAUGAAGAAACAAGGGAUAGAGCUGAAAAGAAGAUUUCUAGGAAUAUAAGACAUUCAGCAAAAGAAUCUUGGGGGCCCCAGAGAGAUGCAAGACAACACACGCAGAGGGAGAUCAUCCAAAGAAAUGAAAGCAGUUCUUUAUGAAGCAAAACUCAUACAUCCUUCCUGUACAUGCAGAGUCUCUGGAACAUGUGCUCAGAAGAUCUGGUCCUUGCCUCCAAAGAACUCGUCAAUGAUGAGAGGAAGCACAGACAGCUAUCCAAGAGAGCAAAGCCCCGGAAUCGAAGGUUCAUCUGGCAGAAGUCACCCAACAGGAAGCAUGCAAUAUGGAGCUAGAUCUGGUAGAAGUCAUCAUGCUGGAGGAGUUUUGUAACAUUUGCUUCUGCGACAAUUGCUCCUCUAUAAAUUCCACACAAAUGACUAAUUUCAACCCUUGAUUUCCAGGUCCAUGUAUAUGCUACCCUAAUCCUAUCAUAAAACCUGAUUGUAACUCUAAUCCUAACCCUACAUCAUAGACAAAAUAAAGCUUGGAGCAAUUGUCGCCGGAGCAUAUGUUGUGUCAACGCUGGAUGAUGGAUCUACAAGCACAUGUCAAAGGUCAAGAAAAUGACCAGAAUUAUGCCAUAAAAUCCAGUGAGCUCUAUUGAUGAACGCACAGCUACCAGAUUGCAAGGAUGGCAAUGUCACAUCGUUCUCGAGGCGACGGAUGAUGACAGAUGCUAUCGUCUAUCAACAAGAAGCUGCGACAGAUGACAAGGAUUACCUGGAAGGUGCUCUACCUCUGCUGUUGGCUACCAAGAGAAUGUAACUUCCAGUACAGGGUUCAAGACCAGAAGGACAUCUCAAUGAAGGGGAUCAGAUCAAGAGUGUCAACAGUGAAAAUCAACUGAACAUGGUUUCAAAUGAAAGCAAGCAGAGUGCUAUCCAUGACAGCUUAACCCUAAAGGGUGGCUGAAAAUGAAGCAUGGAACAUGGAGCUAGAUAGUCAUCGUCAUGAUGGAGGAUGACCUCAACCUACUCGGGUCAAAGGUCAAGAAAAUGCCUAUAGAUAUUCCACCAUAACAAGUGACAUGUCACUCAGUGUACAACAUGGAUCCACCCCCUGUCUGGUGCUAACCAUCUUCGAAGCAGAAAUCAGAGAGAUAGUCUACCAGAGACAAGGAGAUGACAGCAAUCUUCAAGUUUUCAUCUUCACGGAAUGUCUGAUGUGAACAGUUAUUGGUCUUUGCCUGAAGUAUGAUCAACAUAAGAAUAGCUUGGACACCAAACUCUUCAUAUUCACCUUCCAUCUUGUUUUGUGGAUCAUUACUUCCAUGAAUAUCUAGAACAUGGUUAAACCUUUAUAAGGUGAUUGGGAGGGGGGGGGGGUGUCAUCAGACUGAAUGAACUAAUUUAUUUAAUAAUUGAAAUCAUUUUUAGUAUCAAAUAUGUGUCUUGCAUAUAUGCAUUCACUACUAAUGAACCCAUUUUAAUUUUUUAUAUGUAUUUACCGUAACCUUUAUGUAGCUUUAAGGAGCAGGUCCAAGCUUUUAUUCUGGUAGUUCAGAGAUAGUAUUAGGAGAUAUUUGUGGAGUUAAUAGCUUACAACUUUAUUUUAAUGAAGUUUGUAUUUGUUUUCCAUAAUUUUCCCCCGGUGAAUUUUAUAUGUAGUUUUUCACCCUGGAUCUACUUGUCGUAGAAGUGGUCAGGGGGGGGGGGGGGGGUUGGGGAGUGGAUAGGGUUGGGCUGACUAUUCUGCAAAAGUGGAUCCAAAGGUUUUCCAGAGUUUUUCCCUUCUGUGUUUUAUCUCUGGUUUUUUACCCUGGAUCUACUUGUCGUAGAACUAGUCGGGGGGAUGGGUUGGGGUUGGGGUAUCUUAGAUAAUAUGUUUAGAGGAAUAAAAAUGUUCUUUACCUGUGUUUAAAUACGGCAAAGGACAAUGUAUACUUCUUUGUAGAACAUUGUAUCUUAUGGGUAGAAUAUGAGAUUUAACAUCAUAUUCCAAAAUAAUAGAAAAAAACUGUUCCCGAUCGAAGAGUCAAUUUUCAAACCAUUCAUGUGCAAAACACCUGAUGCAGUGAUGUCUUAGUUCUGAAGCUUGUAUAACGUUAGGUGAAUCAAGCUUUGUUUAGGUUAGCAAAUCUGUAUUGGUAUAUUGAGUCACAUAUGGGUUAAAUUUAUUUAUAUUGGCAUUAUACAGAGCUGCCAAAUAGUACUGAUUUUCACUAACUAGUACUGAAAAAUGAGAAGAAUAAUGAUGGUUUUAUGCAAAAUACUGAUUAUUAAGUUCAUUUUAAUGUGUUAUUCUCUGGUAUUUCUUUGAAAAUACAGAUUUCCAUACCAAAAUACUGGUUGUCAACUUUUAAAAUACUGAAAUAUUCUUGUUCAGGUUGGCGGCUCUGAUUAUGAAGUCAGUUUUGCAGUGCCUGACAAAAUGAUUUUUACUCACGGUAGAGGGAAUUAAUGCUUAAAUACACAUUACAAUGAGGGUAAUUAAUGAUUGAAUAUACAUGACAAUAUUUUGGAAAUUUUUGUUCGGGAAUAUAUUAACCUCCAUUGACUUUAAGUGGUUUCUGAAGGCGUUAAGUUUUCAGGUUGCCUGUCUGUCCUGUUUUUAUACUUGCAAUAACUGAAGAUUCGUGUGACAGUUCACUUUCAAACUUGCUCCAAGUUUGCAUAUAUUGUAGGAGGCAUACAUUUUUAAAGCGUAGGCAUAAAUUUCUGAAGCGUGUAGUAGAGAAUCCCAUCUGUUUAUAUCAAAUUUUGCAGUCCCACUAAUAUACAUUCAUGGUUCCAGUCACAUGUUCCAGUCCAGGGGGGGGGAGUCUUUAGUGAUGUAUUAGUUUCUGAAUAGUUAUUACAAAUGUCAGAUCAUUUUGAAUUAAUGAAAAGUUUAUGAAAUUAACAAAAGAAGUCUGGGAAGUGUUUUACAAAUACUUAAAACUGACUGAAACUCAUGCUCAAGUAUAAAUGUGAACAUGAUAAUUUGCAGUCUCAUGGAUUAAUACAUGUAUACAGUAGAGUGUAUCCUCUGAUUCUGAUCCGACCAAUAUGGAGAUCUUUUAUUUUCCACACACAAGUUGAAAUGUAAGGGCAAUUUCUUUAGUCACACUUAAAUAUUCGUGAAGCACCGCUUUGAUUUGUCUCUUAUAUCACAUUUCUAUGUCAUAUAGCUUGGACCUGCUCUACUUUUGUAAAUUAGGGACAGCGAUAUUCUGUUUACCAGUAAAUCAAAAUAUUAAAUCAGUUUUGGUUCUUUACUUACUUUACUUUUCAUGUAAAACUUCAAUGAAUUUACUUAUGAAAAAUGGAAUUCAUGUUUUUGCAGUAUACAUUUUCUAUGACAAAAUGAAAUUUCCAUUUUAGAUCAAGUUUUAAGCAGAGUUACUGGCUUCCAGAAACAGAAAUGAUUUUUUUAAAACUAAAAAUCACUGUCCCUAAUUUUAUCAUGUCAGGUAGCUUGGACCUGCCUUAUUUUUGUAUAUGCAUUUAUGUAGUGUAUGAUUGUCUGUACUGUAUACUUGCUUUGUAUUCACAAUUUGUAAGACCGGCAGCCGAGAAGAUUCAUUCAGGUUGGAGGACCAGAGCAGCUGACCUUCUUGAUUGCUGGGGUAGGCCCUAGACCUCACAAACAUGGCUUCCUGUCUGGUUUGAGCUGGGAUCUUCCUGCCAGAAUCACACAAUAUGUGACAUCACUACCAAGAGAUCUAUUUUUCAGUGUGCAGAGGAGGGCACUAGACGCUGCUGUGCAUGGUAUACAACCUCUUUAAUGUAAGUGCUAUAUUGACAAUUUUAAUGAUAUUUUUUGUAGCCUAGUGUAUGUGAGACAAUACAAUUGGUUUUCCAGCAAUUAUUACUGAGGGCAAUAAUUAAUUUGGAAAUAUUGGGCAGCAAUUUUACCCACAUUGGGCUUUUCAUGUAUGUUUUGCCUCAAUUGCACUUAUAAAAUUCAGGGCAUUCUCUUUAAUCUUUGGACCGAUAUUCUUUUCAUUAAAAUCUAUCAAAAACAAUUCCAUUCCUAAAGGUAAUUUGGGUAAAUUUAUAGGGACUUCAAAAAUUCCCAUCGAUCUUUUCCCAUUUCUAUAUUAUUUUUUGGCUAUGUGUCUCAGUCUGUUGAUCUUUAUUGUAGUCUUUUAUUCUCCCUAGUAUCUAGCCAUUCCUUUCUUAUUCCAUAAUCUCUUUCUUUCUCAUUACUCCACCCUCUUCCUCUCAUGGUUCACAUCCCCCUCUCCUCUUCUACUUUAUCUGUUGAUCCAUUGAUUGCCGUCUGCUCUUUACCUCCCUGUACUAUCUGCGCUACCCUUAAAUUCAUCUUUGUUUCACAUCGUUGCAACAUAAUCGCCAUGACUGGUAUGAUAAGAAGACAUUAAAAAAUUCUUUUACAAUUUAUAAGUAUCUACAUAAUUUGAUCUCAUUAUGAGAAAGUAUCGUAAAUUAUUUUGCAAUAUACGUAUUCCCUUUUUCUGUACAUGUACAUGUUAAAUUUUUUGACAAACCCAAUAGAGUAACUAUUCCAAGAUUUUAUCUUGGUCCUUUCCCCAUUCGCCAUAAAAUUCAUGUUUGUGACGUUUGCUGAGUGUGUAUCCAUCAUGAAAUCAAAGAAAUGUGUAGAGAUUUAUUGGCCUGCAUUGGAAUGACAUGGUGAUGAAGGUGGCUUCUCAAUAUCGGUUCGUCUGCCAAAAUAAAAAUUGUAUUUACUCCAUUUCGGAUAUCAAGUUUUUACUCAUUUUUUUUUUUGGGGGGGGGGGGUCUGCCAAAACAAAAAUUGUAUUUACUCAAUUUGUAAUAUCAAAUUUUAACACAUUUUCAUGGGGACUGUGUGCUUCAAUGGUUUUUCCACAUUGUUAAAAAAAAAUGCUCCUUCGAUAAAAGCAAUACGUGUUAGUCUGAAAUCUAGUUUCAGAAGUGCAAUGUCAGAUUUUGAUUUCUUUCCUGCAAUCAGUUGUCAUUUAGUUUUCAAUCCAUUUCACAAGAGCCUUGCCAUUGUUGUUGUUUCUAUUAGACCCUUACCGAUAUUUGUAAUGGGAAUUUAGCGCGUUUGUCAAAGUUCAUCAAUAGCACUGUUUAGCUAUGAUGGCUUUGGGGCUUUGUGGCACUUUUGAAGAUGACCAAGGUAACCAUUAGUGUCUUCUGGAAAUUUGGUUCAGUUGCAUGUGACAUCUUUGUUUUUGGUGUUUGGAAAUCUUGUACUGUUGUGAUACCAAAGUGUUGUCUGACCAAGAAGAAUGAUGUCUUUGAGUUUACUUGUGAUAUCUGGAGAUCUUCAAUACAUGCAACUUGCACAUUUUUUGUUGGGCAUUCAAAUGCUGAUAUCUUAUGCAGAGCUGCCAACCAGUAUGUUUUUGUUGAAUUAAGUACAUUUUUGCAACCAAAAUAUGGCACUACAUUUUUUCUUUAUAAAAUACAAUCUUCUUUAAAAAAAGAUUAGAUUAUUAUAUUUUAUUUAAAAUUUUUUCAUAAAACUCACACAAGAAUUGCUAAUUGGAUAAAUGUCAUUUCCAGUAACUUUCAACUUUCAAGUAUUAAAAAACCUUUUUUUCAUUCAUAGAAAUUGAUCCAAUAUCUUUAUUUUAUCAUAGAAUACAGUGUUUUGGGAGAAAAUACAGUUUUGGGGAUCUAAAGAUACAAUUUUUUAUCCUAGAGGUUGGCAGGUCUGCUUAUGAAAUGUCUGCAACUUUGUUUUGCCAGUGCAUGAUGCCAUACAGAUGGUCUGAUGAUGAUAUUCAUUGCUUCAUUUUGCUUGACAUGAUAUCACUCUGAUAUGCAUUGCCCCAGCCAUCUAAACUUAUUGCCAUCUAGAAUUGUAUUUUUCUGAUGUUCUACGAGAGUGUUGGUUUCUUUGUGGUGGCAUUUGAAUAGAGACCCCAGGGCCCGUCUUACAAAGAGUUACGAUUGAUCCAAUCAAUUGUAAUUCUAUGGAAAUCAAUCAGUGCCAUAACUUUGCUGGCUUUCCAUAGUUGCGAUUGAUAGGAUCAAUCGCAACUCUUUGUAAGACAGUGUCCAGUUUUCCACUUUCCAAAUGCCAAUUCUGUGUUCUUUGCUGUGUUCUUCUAAGCCUCACAUUGUGUGUUCAUCACAGUGACGUGUCCCUGGGUCUUGUACCAUCCACAGUCUUUCCUGGGAAUCGCUGGAGCUUCACUACCAUGUAAAAUCUUUCAAGUCUUACAAUGCCUUUAUGAUAACAUACAAAGCAGACAGUCACAGAGCCUGUUCCUUCUUUGUUAUGGUCCCUCUGAUCAGUCUCAGGGAAGUUGACGUUGCUCGGCCAGUUCCUCGGGUUGACGUUAGGUGGUGUAGGGCUGUUCUUCUACCUUCUGGACUGAGUAGGGCAAUGAUCCAUGUAGUCAUCAGCCAUCUGAAUUCUCCAACAACCACUGAAUCGUCUGGUAGAUUUUCCUAAGGGAAUAGUUUAAGUUGUAUCCUGUUUAGAACAAGAAGUGUGUUUAUUCACUUGGCUGGAGAGGGGUUGCUACGUUCAGGAAGGCAUUUGAUGGAAAUUGGCAUAUUUGAUUUGGUCAAUCAUGUUGUCUUUCACAGUUACAUCAAUAGCUCUCUACUGGGCUUAACAAAAUUAAUUGGUUUUUAACCAAAGCUGCUUCAUGGCCUACAAGGAGACCUGAGUAUCUUGACUAUGGUGAUUGAUGAAAGAGGCUAAAAAGGAGAUUACUUCUAUUUAAUUUGUUCCAACUGUCAUUGCCCCUUGUCUGGAAUGAGUUUUGGAGAUUUCAGUGGAUGCCAUCAGUGUAGAUUGACAUUGCUUCCUUAGACCCGGUGGCUAAAGAAUUGCUUUCUGCGUCCAGUCUAGAAUGAGUUUUGGAAGUUUUAUUGGAUGCUGUCUGUGAAAUUUGACUUUGCUUCUCACUGACCAUUUGGCUAAUUCUUUUUCAUCCAGCCCGGAAUGAAUUUUGAAAAUCUUGUUGGAUGCCUUUUAUGAAAUUUGACAUUGCGCUUCAUUACUAGGGUUCAUGCAUUGUACUGUAAUGAUUGGUGGGGUAUUAUAAACCAUUGUGGAAUAUAGGUGCACUUCCUCAGGAUUAGCCGAUGUUGAGGGCUCGAUAAAUAGAUCUAGAUUCACUUGUCGUUUCAUUGCCUUGCCUUGUCUCUCAGAGUUCAUGGUGGAGUGAUGGAGAAGUAGCAAUCACAAACAUUUGAUUCUUGUAUGGUGGUGAAUGAAUGUAUAGGGGAAAAUAAAAACAAAGAAAAAGAAGCAAAACAAUCCCCCUCACCCCCCCCCAAAAAAAAAAAAAGAAUCAAAGAAACAAAACAAAACCAAAAUUAAAAAAAACCCAAUGUUUUAUUGUUGGUUUCUCUCGAAAUAUUUGACCAACAUGUGCAUUUCAAUUCAUAGAAACAUUUCAUGUACAGAAAAGGGUGUAUUUAUUUGCGAAAUUUGAAGAAAAAAGCCCCCCACCAAAAAAGAAAAGAAAAUAAGAUUGAAUAUAAAACAAAUUUAAAAACAAAUGGAAAUACGAAAUUUAUAAAAAUUAUGAAUGGAAUAAUAAGUUAAUAUUUACUUCAUUAAGGUAUAUGAAAUAAUACUUUCACAUAGAUGAAUAAAAAUAUGAAAGAUUAUUUAAGUAAUUAGUAAUACUACUCAAAAUCUUUUAAAAAUUCAAAGAUACAGCUAAAAAUAUCAGUCAUGGCAAGUAAAUGUUGAAAGGAUGUGAAAUGAAGGAAAGCUGGCAGAAAUGGGGAGCAUUUCAUGGAGAGGUUUGUCAGUGAUUUUCACUAAUUAGCUCUCAGCCAAUCAGAUGCAAGAAUUUUCAGUAGCUUAUAACAUCAGUUUGUGAAAAUUGCUGACAGAAAUCUUCAUGAAAGGCUCCGCAAGAUGGAUAGUACAAGGAGGGAUGGAGCGAGACCACAAUUAGUGGAUUAACUGGUAAACCUGUAGAAAGAAGAGAGGGGGGGGUAAGAGGAGGAGGGAUCAUGGUAAUGAGGGAGGGAGCAGAUGAAAGGAAAUUAGGUGGCUUUGUUCUAGGGUGAAUAAAGAGACUACAAAGGAGAUUUAACAGACUGAUUCAUAUGUUAAACAAAGAGAAAAGGGGUGGGGAGAAGGGGGAGGGGUUGGAAAAUCAAUGCAUUGUCUCUCAUACAGCUGGCUACAUAAAACAUCAUUGAACUUGAAAAUAAAGCACCUUGAUGAGGUACAUCAUGCACGGCAGUGUCCAGUGCCCCACCCUGUACACUGAAAAAUAGGUUGAUUGGUAGUGAUGUCAUGUAUUGUGUGAUUUUGUCUGGGAGACCCCAGCUCAGAUCAGGCUGCUGGCCAUUUUGUGGGGAUUAGGGUUUGCUCCAUUGUAUCAAGAGGUCAUUUGCUUUGGCAACCUCUGCACUUGAAUGAAUCUUCUUGGCUGUCGGUCAUUUUUUUUUGCAAAAUAAAUUUAUUAGAAAAUGAA